rnacentral:rRNA from 1 species
GACGAACGCUGGCGGCGUGCUUAACACAUGCAAGUCGAACGGAAAGGCCCUGCUUUUGUGGGGUGCUCGAGUGGCGAACGGGUGAGUAACACGUGAGUAACCUGCCCUUGACUUUGGGAUAACUUCAGGAAACUGGGGCUAAUACCGGAUAGGAGCUCCUGCUGCAUGGUGGGGGUUGGAAAGUUUCGGCGGUUGGGGAUGGACUCGCGGCUUAUCAGCUUGUUGGUGGGGUAGUGGCUUACCAAGGCUUUGACGGGUAGCCGGCCUGAGAGGGUGACCGGCCACAUUGGGACUGAGAUACGGCCCAGACUCCUACGGGAGGCGGCAGUGGGGAAUAUUGCACAAUGGGCGGAAGCCUGAUGCAGCAACGCCGCGUGCGGGAUGACGGCCUUCGGGUUGUAAACCGCUUUCGCCUGUGACGAAGCGUGAGUGACGGUAAUGGGUAAAGAAGCACCGGCUAACUACGUGCCAGCAGCCGCGGUGAUACGUAGGGUGCGAGCGUUGUCCGGAUUUAUUGGGCGUAAAGGGCUCGUAGGUGGUUGAUCGCGUCGGAAGUGUAAUCUUGGGGCUUAACCCUGAGCGUGCUUUCGAUACGGGUUGACUUGAGGAAGGUAGGGGAGAAUGGAAUUCCUGGUGGAGCGGUGGAAUGCGCAGAUAUCAGGAGGAACACCAGUGGCGAAGGCGGUUCUCUGGGCCUUUCCUGACGCUGAGGAGCGAAAGCGUGGGGAGCGAACAGGCUUAGAUACCCUGGUAGUCCACGCUGUAAACGGUGGGUACUAGGUGUGGGGUCCAUUCCACGGGUUCCGUGCCGUAGCUAACGCUUUAAGUACCCCGCCUGGGGAGUACGGCCGCAAGGCUAAAACUCAAAGGAAUUGACGGGGCCCCGCACAAGCGGCGGAGCAUGCGGAUUAAUUCGAUGCAACGCGUAGAACCUUACCUGGGUUUGACAUGGAUCGGGAGUGCUCAGAGAUGGGUGUGCCUCUUUUGGGGUCGGUUCACAGGUGGUGCAUGCCUGUCGUCAGCUCGUGUCGUGAGAUGUUGGGUUAAGUCCCGCAACGAGCGCAACCCUUGUUCACUGUUGCCAGCACGUUAUGGUGGGGACUCAGUGGAGACCGCCGGGGUCAACUCGGAGGAAGGUGGGGAUGACGUCAAGUCCUCAUGCCCCUUAUGUCCAGGGCUUCACGCAUGCUACAAUGGCUGGUACAGAGAGUGGCGAGCCUGUGAGGGUGAGCGAAUCUCGGAAAGCCGGUCUCAGUUCGGAUUGGGGUCUGCAACUCGACCUCAUGAAGUCGGAGUCGCUAGUAAUCGCAGAUCAGCAACGCUGCGGUGAAUACGUUCCCGGG